UCUUUUGAUUUUUAGGUACACGUUGUUUGG
rnacentral:piRNA from 1 species